rnacentral:rRNA from 1 species
UACAGAGGUGGCAAGCGUUGUUCGGAAUUACUGGGCGUAAAGGGCGCGUAGGCGGUCCGUUAAGUCCCGUGUGAAAUCCCUCGGCUCAACUGAGGAAUGGCAUGGGAAACUGACGGGCUUGAGUUCGGGAGAGGGAAGCGGAAUUCCGGGUGUAGCGGUGAAAUGCGUAGAUAUCCGGAGGAACACCGGUGGCGAAGGCGGCUUCCUGGACCGACACUGACGCUGAGGCGCGAAAGCUAGGGGAGCAAACGGG